rnacentral:rRNA from 1 species
AGUGAACGCUGGCGGUAGGCCUAACACAUGCAAGUCGAACGGCAGCACAGUAAGAGCUUGCUCUUACGGGUGGCGAGUGGCGGACGGGUGAGGAAUACAUCGGAAUCUACUUUUUCGUGGGGGAUAACGUAGGGAAACUUACGCUAAUACCGCAUACGACCUACGGGUGGAAGCAGGGGAUCUUCGGACCUUGCGCGAUUGAAUGAGCCGAUGUCGGAUUAGCUAGUUGGCGGGGUAAAGGCCCACCAAGGCGACGAUCCGUAGCUGGUCUGAGAGGAUGAUCAGCCACACUGGAACUGAGACACGGUCCAGACUCCUACGGGAGGCAGCAGUGGGGAAUAUUGGACAAUGGGCGCAAGCCUGAUCCAGCCAUACCGCGUGGGUGAAGAAGGUCUUCGGGUUGUAAAGCCCUUUUGUUGGGAAAGAAAAGCAGCAGGUUAAUACCCCGCUGUUCUGACGGUACCCAAAGAAUAAGCACCGGCUAACUUCGUG